rnacentral:lncRNA from 1 species
CGGGGACGUUGGCAAUAAGGUGAAGUGGAGGAUGCUAUCUGCUGGGCGGUGCUUUUAUUUAUCUAAUUAAUGAAACGAUUCUUCUGGGAUAUAUGAAAUUUUGUUUAAAAAUUUAGAUAUGCAGAGGAAUGAAAUUUAAAUAAGUACACUUCCUGCUCUUUACAAGAAGAGUCAUAGAGCAUAAAAAAAGAUGCGGCAGGAAACAAACAGUGAGAACACUUCAUUAUCACAAAGAAUUGCUAACUACGAUACAGUGAUAAACUGGGACAAUAUUAAAGUUAUUAGGAAGGAGUUUAAUGCACUGAAAUGCAGAAUAGCAGAAGCAAUCAGCGUAAUGGAUAAGAAAUUAAAAGGAUGUAACGUAAUUAGCACCAUAGAAUCCAAUACAAUUAGUCCAGCCUGGAUUUGGUGCCAGUAAGAAACGAAAAUGGUAAUCAACAUAAUGUAAUACCUCAAUAGUGACAUCAUCCAUAAUUGUGAUAGCUUUUUUUAUACCAAAGUAAUAUACAGGGUUAGCAAGAAAUGGGUUCCCCACUUCGGAGGACUCUGGAGUGCGUUCUGCGGGUCCAGGUGGGAUGGAAUUUGAACUACAGCUGGUUCGGGUGAUGCGCC